rnacentral:rRNA from 1 species
GACGAACGCUGGCGGCGUGCCUAAUACAUGCAAGUCGAACGCAGUGGGGACGGGUGAGUAACACGUGGGUAACCUCCCAUCAGAGGGGAUAACACUUGGAAACAGGUGCUAAACCGAUACUGAUGGAUGGACCCGCUGUGGGUUAGCUAGUUGGUGAGGUAACGGCUCACCAGGGCCACGAUGCAUAGCCGACCGGAGAGGGUGAUCGGACACACGGGGACGUAGACACGGCCCAGAAGCCGACGGUAGGCAGCAGUAGGGAAUCUUCGGAAAUGGACGAAAGGCUGACCGAGUAACGCCGCGUGAGUGAAGAAGGUUUUCGGAUCGUAAAACUCUGUUGUUAGAGAAGCGGUAUCUAACCAGAAAGCCACGGCUAACUACGUGCCAGCCGCCGCGGUAAUAC